GCAGGAAAGAAUUGAGGCGAGGUAAGUUCUCUGUGUGAUGUGGCUAGGCCACCCUUGGACGUAUUUUCUUUCUAAUAGGGGUUUAGGGGGUUGAACUUGCUGAGACAUCGUCUCAUCCCGGUUGUGGGAUUAAAAUUUCAGGUCCCUGAUGGACGGAGUGGCCAGAUAGCUUUGGUUGGCCUUGAGGAGUUGCAGAGGUGAAGGCAUAAGAUUGGAGAACGUGUCCAACUUGUAGGUCGUAGGACAAUUCCUUUUUAAGAGCC
rnacentral:lncRNA from 1 species